rnacentral:lncRNA from 1 species
UGAAGAAGUAUUAGGCAUGUGCCUAAUAAGAGUUUUCUUUGGUUUGGUAGCCAACCUUGUUGACUUGGUUUGGUUGGUAGCCAACCUUGUUGAAUUUCUUUGGUUUGGUAGCCAACUUUGUUGAAUUGUGAAAAAUGUGUGUAAAUUGUCAAAUAUUGUAGGCUUUAGAGGGUGAAGCUUUGGCUAUAAAAGGAGAGCUUCAACUCUCAUUUCUUCACACCAACAAAGAGAGAAAGAAAGAGUAAGGUUUCACAGACAAGGUAUAAGAAAAUAGUCUGUGAGGAAAAUAGAGAGAGAGCGAUAUUGUAGUGAGGUGGGAAUAUCAAAAGAGG